AUACUGGUUAGGGGACAAGAACAUUCUUAAUUAAAAGAUUACUAAUGAUAAUUUUUCAUGCAACCAUGGGAACAGGAUUAAUGCUUUAUUGCUUGCUUAUUAAAAUGAGAUGUGCCAUUAUGGAAGUGUAGAAUUUACAGGCACAAAUGUUGAGGUCCUUGUGUCUGCAGCCUCUGUCUUUUAUUUCUGGGAACUUCAUGAAGGGAGAAGGGAAUAAAUAAUUUUAUUUUCACCCAUCUCUAAGGAAAUAUUAUAGAUGUUGGGAAUGAAAAAAUGCUUCUCUGAUCUACAGAUUUUUACAGUUUAUCUGUAAGGAUCCAAAGCAGCACUUUGGAGGUAGAGUCUGGAUUCUCCUGUGUGCUGAACCAUGGAGGCAAAGAAUAAACUUGCUGGCACUUUGGUUGUCUGUCCGUAGAUGGUUUUCAGGCUGUCUAAAGCUGCUUUGGGAUGCUGGCUUCUGCUAGCAAUCCUUUUCACAACUUCUGUUGCUCAGCAUGGACCAUAUUAUUUUUCUCUAAGCAUACUUAUUUCCUCUAUUGUUUUUCUUUCUCCUUGUUUUCUUUCUCUAUUUUCUCCCAUCCUAGCAAAGGAUUUAACAUCACCUAUAUCAGGAAAUGUGGAAAUCACAGGGCAAAGUGACUUUUUCCAUCUGCUACGUCCCCAUCUGAUAGCAAAUUGUGCAAAUCCUCAUUGGUGCCUUUAAACCAUGCCAUUUUAAGGAACUAUGUGGCUGUCAGGAAGAACAUAAUGACACUGGGGGUUACAGCCUGACUUUGUACAGCUGUGCAAACCAGCAGCUUAACUUUGGAGUUGGCACUAUGCUCAGAGUCAUAGGGAAGAAUGAUGAAAUCAUACCUCCUGCCGUGGUCAUCUUUUCCCCAUCAAAGCAGGAGAUCCAGCAGAAGAGCAAGGCCACGCUGGUGUGCCUGGCCUCUGGUUUCUACCCUGACCACUUGACUCUGGUGUGGAGGGUGAAUGGUGUGAAAAGGACUGAAGGGGUGGGCACAGACGAGUCCUCCACACAGAAUGGGAGCACCUACUCACUGACCAGCCGACUGAGGAUGCCAGCCUGGGAAUGGUUCAACCCUCUGAAUCGCUUCGAGUGUGUUGCCAGUUUUUUUCAGAAUGGAACAACAGCAUCAGUAAACAAAUUUAUCCAUGGUGAUGCUGGUUGUGCACUCACAGAAGAGUCGUACUUGCGGUAUGGAAAUUCCCUGAAGCUCACUUACCUCAUCCUCUGUGGCAAAGCCUUGGUCUAUGCAGUUUUGGUGAGUGGUCUGGUGUGGACAGGCAAGGUGAGUCAGAGUGGCCCUGGAAGGCUGGGCUCACUCACUGGUCAAGGAUCAGUGGAUGCAGGUUAAACCCCUUCUCAGAGGUGUGGCUGUUCUGCAGGUGCUCUGCCAGGCUUUGUGGAGUUCCACUUGAAAAAUCAGAAAUUAUGGGUUUUCUCUUACCGUUUUUCCAAAACUCAAAUAAAAUCAAUGCUAUCUAGCAGAGAAAUUCCUUCUCACAAUCCUCUUUAAACACAUGAAAAAGAUGAGAAUUAAGGACAAGUUGCCCAGAAAGUAAAUAAGGGAAAUAUCAGAUAUGUCACGCAUUUGUGUAACCAUUGCGAAGGGGCUUACACCUGCAGUGAAAAUAAUAAGCAUAUUUUUUAAAGUGAUGCAGGAGAUAAAUCUGAUUAAAUAUUUACAAAGAUUUAAGAAGAACAGUGGAUUGAUCUGAAAGGAUGGGAUAAUUCAACUAACCAAGAGGAAAUGCUUUUUAUUAGUAAGUUUUUCCUGUGGCUGAAACAUACAUGCACAGUGAGAGCAGCAGAAGUCUCAGCGCUUGUCUGUUCAAAAGCAGAACAGGGAGAUGUAUUUGAAAAGUGACCUGGUAGAGUUGAGGGCAAAGAUGAGAACAAUCUCAGUUGUAUUUUUUGGUCCUUUUGCAAGGAUAGAAUGGAAGGUGUAGAUAUGUCCAUUUCUGGAUCAUGGAAUCCUAGAAUCGCAGAAUGGUUUAGGUGAGAAAGAACAUUUAAAGAUUACCUAGUUCCAUCCCCACCCUGAAAUGGGCAGGGACAUCUCUC